rnacentral:rRNA from 1 species
UACGUAGGGUGCAAGCGUUAAUCGGAAUUACUGGGCGUAAAGCGUGCGCAGGCGGUUUUGUAAGUCAGAUGUGAAAUCCCCCGGGCUUAACCUAGGAACUGCGUUUGAAACUACAAGGCUAGAGUGUGGCAGAGGGGGGGUGGAAUUCCACGUGUAGCAGUGAAAUGCGUAGAGAUGUGGAGGAACACCGAUGGCGAAGGCAGCCCCCCUGGGUUAACACUGACGCUCAGGCACGAAAGCGUGGGGAGCAAACAGG